UGGGGAAAUUUUGGACAAUGGGCGAAAGCCUGAUCCAGCAAUGCCGCGUGUGCGAAAGAAGGCCUUCGGGUUGUAAAGCACUUUUACCAGGAACGAAAAGUUUGGCUCUAAUAAAGUCGGACGAUGACGGUACCUGGAGAAUAAGCACCGGCUAACUACGUGCCAGCAGCCNCGGUAAUACGUAGGGUGCAAGCGUUAAUCGGAAUUACUGGGCGUAAAGCGUGCGCAGGCGGUUGUGUAAGACAGAUGUGAAAUCCCCGGGCUUAACCUGGGAAUUGCAUUUGUGACUGCACGACUAGAGUGUGUCAGAGGGGGGUGGAAUUCCACGUGUAGCAGUGAAAUGCGUAGAUAUGUGGAGGAACACCAAUGGCGAAGGCAGCCCCCUGGGAUAACACUGACGCUCAUGCACGAAAGCGUGGGGAGCAAACAGGAUUAGAUACCCUGGUAGUCCACGCCCUAAACGAUGUCAACUAGUUGUUGGGGAUUUAUUUCCUUGGUAACGUAGCUAACGCGUGAAGUUGACCGCCUGGGGAGUACGGCCGCAAGGUUA
rnacentral:rRNA from 1 species